rnacentral:rRNA from 1 species
GCCAUGCAUGUCUAAGUACAUACCUUUAUACGGCGAAACCGCGAAUGGCUCAUUAAAUCAGUUAUUGUUUAUUUGAUGGUAACCUGCUACAUGGAUAACCGUGGCAAUUCUAGGGCUAAUACAUGCUAAAAGGGCGUUGCUCUGCUUCGCUCGCUUUUAUUAGACCGAACCAAUGUGCUUCGGCACUUUUUUUGGUGACUCUGGAUAAUUCCGCUGAUCGCAUGGUCUCGCACCGGCGAUGCAUCAUUCAAAUUUCUGCCUUAUCAACUGUCGAUGGUAAGAUAUGGGCUUACCAUGGUUGUAACGGGUAACGGGGAAUUAGGGUUCGAUUCCGGAGAGGGAGCCUGAGAAACGGCUACCACAUCCAAGGAAGGCAGCAGGCGCGCAAAUUACCCACUCCCGGCACGGGGAGGUAGUGACGAAAAAUAACAAUACGGGACUCUAUUGAGGCUCCGUAAUUGGAAUGAGUACACUUUAAAUCCUUUAGCGAGUAUCUAUUGGAGGGCAAGUCUGGUGCCAGCAGCCGCGGUAAUUCCAGCUCCAAUAGCGUAUAUUAAAGUUGUUGCAGUUAAAAAGCUCGUAGUUGGAUCUUGGGUUACUCCUGGGCGGUCCUACGCAAGUGGUGUACUUCCCGGUGGUACCUUGUCUCCAUAUUGGUGCCCGCGUCCUUCGCUGGGCGUUGGCUUCGAUGUGGACGUUUACUUUGAAGAAAUUAGAGUGUUCAAAGCAGGCUAGUGCUUGAAUAAUGGUGCAUGGAAUAAUGGAAUAUGACCGUCGUCUUAUUUUGUUGGUUCGAAAGAUCGGUGGUAAUGAUUAAGAGGGACGGACGGGGGCGUUCGUAUUGCGCCGUUAGAGGUGAAAUUCUUGGAUCGGCGCAAGACGAACUACAGCGAAAGCAUUCGCCAAGAACGUUUUCAUUAAUCAAGAACGAAAGUUGGAGGCUCGAAGACGAUCAGAUACCGUCGUAGUUCCAACUGUAAACGAUGCCAACUAGCGAUCAGGGAUAGUUCUUUCUUGACUUCCCUGGCAGCUUCCGGGAAACCAAAGUUUUUGGGUUCCGGGGGAAGUAUGGUUGCAAAGCUGAAACUUAAAGGAAUUGACGGAAGGGCACCACCAGGAGUGGAGCCUGCGGCUUAAUUUGACUCAACACGGGAAAACUCACCCGGCCCGGACACCGGUAGGAUUGACAGAUUGAAAGCUCUUUCUUGAUUCGGUGGGUGGUGGUGCAUGGCCGUUCUUAGUUGGUGGAGCGAUUUGUCUGGUUAAUUCCGAUAACGAACGAGACUCUGGCUUGCUAAAUAGUGCUCGUAUACUUUCGAGUGUGCGGGUUCACUUCUUAGAGGGACUAGCGGCGUACAGCCGCACGAGAUUGAGCAAUAACAGGUCUGUGAUGCCCUUAGAUGUUCGGGGCCGCACGCGCGCUACAAUGAGGCGGGCAACAAGUUUUGCCCUGGUCCGAAAGGACUGGGUAAUCUUUUGAAACCGUCUCGUGCUAGGGAUAGGGAAUUGCAAUUAUCUCCCUUGAACGAGGAAUUCCUAGUAAGCGCAAGUCAUAAGCUUGCGUUGAUUACGUCCCUGCCCUUUGUACACACCGCCCGUCGCUACUACCGAUUGAACGAUUUAGUGAGAACCUCGGACCGUCAGCCACGGGGGACUUCGUGUUCCCUGAUGUUCGGUGGGAAGACGUUCAAACUUGAUCGUUUAGAGGAAGUAAAAGUCGUAACAAGGUUU